UCAUUAGUGGCUGGCAGUAAAGCACAGAAACGAGUGGACAUUGGCACAGGCUGGCUUUCUGUUUCUGGAGAAGGCCAAAAAUAAUCUCAGUAGAUUUAAUUAAAACUGCAGUGAACAGAUGGGGAAGAUGGAAAGAACUCCAACUGGAGACCACUCAUCUGUCUAGGUCUCUGCGAGCGUUUUAAUGAAGCCUUCGCUGUCUGCAGGUCCCAGUCCUGACACAUCCCUUUCUGGUUAUGCAACCGAGCGGAACGAUUACCCAGCAACUCCACUUAAAGCGGCAGGGGCCUGUUUCCCAAGGAAAAGGAUGGCUUGACUCAAUCCAACUACUCCCAAAGUAAAGCAACAAGCCUACAAACGAACAACCUCUCUGUCCUAUCUUGAUCUAAUCCUAAAGUGGGAACAGGUAAUUGGGCGCUCAGUGAAGUUCUCCUCCUACAGAGGGCUAGUGGUGGUGGCCGUGAGGGGUUCAGGGAGAAGGGAAUCCAGCAGCCGUCUCGUGAUUUAAACCUCUAGGUCCAGCUAAAACAAAGCAGUCCUGUUCAAAUUGGGUCAGUGGUCUGCCCUAGUUAGUGGCUCCUUUCACAGUUUUCUACAGUGCAGCAAGCCAAGGGAGAAUGGCAGGAGACGGUCCUAAUUCACCAUGAAAGUUAAAACCCAGCCUGUGUUAAAGUUAAAACCCAGCAUGCAUGCACUCUUUCCUGAUUGAUUGAUUUUAAUGGAAAAGCCCAAACUUCUGGUGCUAAGAGCAAAACAGGAGUUCAAACGUUGCUUGUACUAUGUAGGCCAAAGUACAGAGAGGGCCAGGUCUGCUUGUAAAUAAACUUGGCACAAUGAAGACGGCUUCUGAAGCUAUGUGGAAGUUUGCAAUCAUCAAGAGCAAGGAGAUCUUUAGAAAAAGACCUACGGGUAGAAACUCCAAGGGAUUCUAUUCAAAGAUCAUUGGCACAUGGAGCCCAGAGCUCUCCCUGCAGGGACCUUCCAGGUGUCUUCUGAAUGUGAAAUACCUUUUUAAAAAAAGACCUUUUUUCAGAUGUUAGCAGAGAUUGGCAUUGCUGGUCUCUUUUCAACUUUUAAAAAAUAUAUACUCCCAAGAAAGCAAGGGUAAGAUGCCCCCUUACACAGCCCUUGGGGAAUGUCAGACGGUAAAGACCUUGUUGGUAAUUCCCCAACUGCUAUGGGGGUAGGGGAACAGGAUUAGAUCUUGGCAGCCUGUUGCUGAGGCACAUUUUAAGGAAAAUGGAAAAUGCCAUAGUAGAACCAUGACCUCUUCCCCAGGCCUCCCAACUGCACAGCCAAGCUCACAGACAUACAUCUUCAUGGAGAAACAGGGGCUACUUCAAUGCAUAGCCCCCAAAUUUCAGUGAGAUCUGGAUGAUGCAAGACAUGUUUAUUUACCAAGAAAGACCAGGAGUGUAUGGAACCACAAAACAUAAUUAAUGCAUUCUUUGGAGAAAACCAAGCAUUUUUCAACUAAGUUCCCCUUAAAACUAGUUAUGCAAUCGUGUUAAAAAAAAAAAAAAAAA
rnacentral:lncRNA from 1 species